GACAGAGGCCCCAAGCGUUAGGCGGAAUCACUGGGCUUAAAGCGUGUGUAGGCGGACGCCUAAGUGUCUUGUGAAAUCCCACGGCUCACCCGUGGAACUGCUGGGCAUACUGGGCGUCUUGGGCCAACUAGGGGCAGCCGGAACAAGCGGUGGAGCGGUGAAAUGCGUAGAUAUCGCUUGGAACGCCGAAGGUGAAAACAGGCUGCUGGGGUUGCGCCGACGCUGAGACACGAAAGCCAGGGGAGCAAACGGGG
rnacentral:rRNA from 1 species